GCUUGGCUGGCUCAGUCAGUAGAGCAUGUGACUCUUGAUCUCAGGGUUGUGAGUUCAAGACCCAUGUUGAGUG
rnacentral:tRNA from 1 species